GCUAAAAACGUGCAGGCGGCGUGUGUAAUAGGUAUGUCCCGAGAGGUGUCCGGAAUUAUUGGGCGUAAAGCGAGCGCAGACGGUUCGAUAAGUCUGAAGUGAAAGCCAACAGCUCAACGGUGGAAGGGCUUUGGAAACUGUCGAACUUGAGUGCAGUAGAGGGAAGUGGAACUCCAUGUGUAGCGGUGGAAUGCGUAGAUAUAUGGAAGAACACCAGUGGCGAAGGCGGCUUACUGGACUGUAACUGACGUUGAGGCUCGAAAGUGUGGGUAGCAAACAGGAUUAGAUACCCGAGUAGUC
rnacentral:rRNA from 1 species